CAGCCGCCGCGGUAAUACGAAGGGGGCUAGCGUUGUUCGGAAUCACUGGGCGUAAAGCGCACGUAGGCGGAUUUUUAAGUCAGGGGUGAAAUCCCGAGGCUCAACCUCGGAACUGCCUUUGAUACUGGAGAUCUUGAGUUCGGAAGAGGUUGGUGGAACAGCUAGUGUAGAGGUGAAAUUCGUAGAUAUUAGCUAGAACACCAGUAGCGAAGGCGGCCAACUGAUCCGACACUGACACUGAGAGACGAAAGCUAGGGGAGCAAAUGGGAUUAGAUACCCCCGUAGUCCCUGUCUCUUAUAC
rnacentral:rRNA from 1 species